UCGAUUCUCUCGCUCUCGCUCCCGACCUCCCAUCAACCCACCGACGGAUCCCGCACUUUAGCCCCCCGUUUCUUCUCCUUAAUCUCCCCCAAUUCGUAACUGAGGCAAAAAUCUAGGGCGGGGUCCUCCGCCCGUGCUCUCCCGUCGCCCGCGUAUCUGGAUGGGGGGGAGCUCGGGUCCAGCGCCGCCAUCACCCAAAAGUCGAGCCCCGUCGCGAUUCAGGCACAGUCGCGGUUCGAUUUCCGGCGGCCAUGGAUGGGGAUGGGGACAGGAAGACCUCGCAUGCCGGUAGAGGCGAGAGGCUGGGUGUGGGGAGCGAUCGGACCUCACGAUUUCCCUACAGCUUCAACACGAUUCCUCUCCCUAGCGCCGCCGCCCGCAGGCUGCUCAUAUCUUAUCCUCCUGCACCCCCGCAUGGCCCUACUGCGCUCAUAUGGAGUAGAUCCGAUUUGUUCCACUCCUCUUCCUCCCACUAGGACCAACAACCAUUGACGGGAAUGGAAUGUCCUUGGGUGCACGGUUAGCAGCUCGUUCAUCACCUCUUUCUUGCUCAAUUUUCGGCAGGACUAGAACAUCUAACGUCACCUUCCAACAAAAACUCACGCCUGGGUUUGAUUUCUUCAAAAGGUGUGCCCUAGCUCUAGAGUACCUGCCACUAAUCUCACGGUCACACAACCUAAACGAGAACUUGGAAUUACCUCCUUUGCCUUUCCCCGUGUUCUCAAUCUUCCUCAUAUACCUCCACAGUGGCUUCUUCUCAUCAUCAUCUGCUGAAAUCACUCGAGCUGCAGCACAUUCAUUGGAGUUGCGCUGCUGCUGUGCUCGAGCUCCCAAUCGAAGCAGAGAGGAUUGAAGAAGGUGCAUACUUGGAGGAAGAAAGAAGACAGGAAAAGGGGAGAGAAGAUCACAAGACUAGGAAAAGACUCACUGUGAGAGGAAAAAGGACACCGGCAGUAGCGGCGGCAACGGCAAGACGAGGAGGUAGAGCUGGCUGAGUGGAGGUGGUGUGCCGAGGAGAGGAGGCUGCGCCGGUCACCGGUGAGGUGGCGAGGAGGUGGUGCCGGCCGCUGCUUGCCUUCGUGUGAGAGUGAGAGUCAGGGAAGAGUGGUGGCGGCUGUGGGAUUUGCUUGCCUUUGUGUGAGAGUGGGAGUCAGGGAAGAGUGGUGGCGGCUGUGGGAUUUGGGGAAUGAGAGGGUGCCGGGAGGGAUUUGGGACUUUGAGAGUUUGGGUAGGGUACAGUAUCCCUCCCUCAGGUAUCCCAUGUAUCCCCUCAGGUUUUGCAUUUGACAAUGGAUAAACAGAUCCAGCGAUACCGUAUAAGGCAUACACUGAUUAUGCGCUGGAUAUGGGCUUAAUCACACAAUCACAAUAUAACAAGAUGGGUUAUCUCUGUGGAGUGAUGAUGGUAGAAUAGGUGGGGUGGUAAAUUUAGGUAAUUCUGAUGGGAUGGUUGGAGCUGUGCUAAUCUCUGCUAUUGCUGAGAAAAUAUCAAUGAUGGCAUUGGAAUAUUCUUAAGUGAUAUCUUAUUAAGGUGCUCUCCAGGGAACAUGUUGCCUUGGUUUGACCUUUCAUUUUGCAUUGGAUUGUCUACAGACAGGUUAGGACCACAAAAAGGCAUGCCUCCUCCAUAUGGUAAACCAUGAAGUAAUUCAUACGGAGAACCUAGCAGUGGAAAUGUGAAGUAUACUUCUGCUCCCAUAUCAUUACUCACUGAGCAUGCUGCUGGAAAAAUAUUUCCAUUGCUUUUGGACUAUUAUGUAACUGUUUCACCAAUCCUAGGACAUUUUGAAGAUGUACUGAUGUUUCAUGAGGCACUGUAGAACCAUGGUUUUGCUGGGUCCUGUCACCAACCAGAAGGGAGAGCUCAAAAAAGUUUAGUGUUCAUAUGAGUAUGGUAGUGGUACUAAUGCUGGGUCUACAAUCUGGUCACAAGGAUCCAGUUCUGCAGCCACGCCUUUCAUCAAAAAAUUCCUGAAUUUCUUAAGCACGAUUGAGCUUCAUACACCAUGAGUUUCCUUUGGAGUUCGACCCUUGGGAGCUUCUCUAAAAGCAUGUGCAAUCUAUUUAUAUAAAUAAUGAGUGGCGGAGUCAGAAACCGAAGAAGAAGGGUGCUAAGAUAAGCCUAAUGGUGUUAUGCUUGUAGACUUUCAUACUUAUAAGCUAGAUAGUAAAUAACUUCUCCUUCUAAACAUCCUAACUAGGCCGGUGCUACAGCGCCGGUAGCACCGGCCCUGGAUAUGUGGUUCAACCAGCGACUCAGUGGUUGAGUCAGUGAACUACUGAAUGAGCACGUCCAGUUCUUUUUCAUAUACUCCCUCUGUCCUAAAAAGGAUGUCCCAAAAUUUUCAAAAUAUGAAUGUAUCUCUAGACAUGCUUUAGUGUCUAGAUACAUCCAAAUUUAGACAAAUUUUAGACAUCCUUUUCAGGACGGAGGAAGUAUGAUAUAUCUACUAUUGGCCUAUUUUUUCAGUGAUUUCAUGUAGCAAGCUUAUAUGUAGAAAGGAUGACUAUAUCUUUAUAUGACAAUGCUUAAGCGGCUUCUAUUUGGUGCAACUUUGUUUCUGUGGUUACUUACGUAGUUUCAGUCAGUAUGACUGUUCCAAAUGAUCUAUCUUUUCCUUAAGUAGGGACACGAGUUGACACUGCAUUCUGACCAGGUUGUAUCUACCUUUUUUCUUGUAUCACGGUCAACAAUUUAUCAUUUUGCAUAGGCUGCAAAUCUUUGUGAUAUGUUACCAUCAUCAGAGAAAUCUUUUGUCAAAUUGCUUUGUGAUAUACCAUAUUUAUCUGAAGGUGCAUUAAAGCUGCUAGAGAGUUUAUGUUGUUCUGAAAAUAAUGAGAAGCAGGAUAAGAAUAUUCAGAGUGGUGAUAGAGUACCUCAAGGUCUAAGUGCUGUCUGGAACCUUAUCAUGUGAACUUUCAACUUGGAUAGAUAUUGCAAGAUUGUUUUGCAGGUGCUGCACAGAUACCAUGAUGUAUCUCUGAUACUAUUGGUCUGAUUUGUUGUAAACUGACAAUAGCAUGCCUGGGACAUCUGCCAGUGGCAACGUGAGAGUUAUCUGUUUUGACUUCUGAUUUGGUGGUAGAGUGCAAAUGGAAGCAAACUCGUCAUGAAUUACAGUUUUAUUUUAUUUCCGCAUUCUUAGUAGAAUUGUGAAUCACUAAAUCAAUCACCUUCUUCUCUUGAGGGUGUUUCCAUACAUAAAAUACAAGCAGUGAUUUGUCAUUUCCAUUUCCCAUUCACUUACAUGAGCUUUAGAUUGAACUCUGAAGAUGUAAUUACAAUUUUCACAUUCUUGGUAGAAUUGUGAAGCACUAAAUCAGUUACCUUCUUCUUUUGAGGGUGAUUCAAUAUA